rnacentral:rRNA from 1 species
GACGAACUGUCCAAACGUUGUUCGGAAUCACUGGGCUUAAAGGGCGCGUAGGCGGUCGAUCAAGUCAGGGGUGAAAUCCUGCAGCUUAACUGUAGAAGUGCCUUUGAUACUGGUCGUCUCGAGGGAGGUAGGGGUGUGUGGAACUUCCAGUGGAGCGGUGAAAUGCGUUGAUAUUGGAAGGAACGCCGGAGGCGAAAGCGACGCACUGGACCUCUUCUGACGCUGAGGCGCGAAAGCUAGGGGAGCAAACGGGAUUAGAUACCCCGGUAGUCCUAGCCCUAAACGAUGGGUACUAGAUUGUAGACUGAUCAUGGGUUUACAGUCGAAGCAAAAGUGUUAAGUACCCCGCCUGGGGAGUAUGGUCGCAAGGCUGAAACUCAAAGGAAUUGACGGGGGCUCACACAAGCGGUGGAGCAUGUGGCUUAAUUCGAGGCUACGCGAAGAACCUUAUCCUAGGCUUGACAUGUGCGAAAGCGUCAGGGGGUAGUCUCUUGGAAACUUGAGACGAAGGUAUCCAAUCCUGAACCUGAUACAGGUGCUGCAUGGCUGUCGUCAGCUCGUGUCGUGAGAUGUCGGGUUAAGUCCCAUAACGAGCGAAACCCUUGUUUCCAGUUGCCAGCGCGUCAUGGCGGGGACUCUGGAAAGACUGCCGGUGUUAAACCGGAGGAAGGUGGGGAUGACGUCAAGUCCUCAUGGCCUUUAUGCCUAGGGCUGCACACGUGCUACAAUGCAACGAACAAAGGGAAGCCAACGCGCGAGCGGGAGCAAAUCCCAAAAAACGUUGCCCAGUUCAGAUCGAAGGCUGCAACUCGCCUUCGUGAAGUUGGAACCGCUAGUAAUCGCAGGUCAGCAACACUGCGGUGAAUGUGUUCCUGAGCCU